AGAUCCAGGAAACUCAGACUGGAAAGAGGAUAAGGGGGAGAGUGUGUCAUAUUUGUCACCUUGUUUUCAUGUGUAUGAUGGCUGCAGAAAAUAGAGCCAUGGAAGCUGUUGUCAAAUGCUGUGUCACUCUCUAAAUCUGGCCGUCCAUGUCGACCUGACAGACAAUCCAUCCUUCCAUUAAUCGUGUCACUCAAGUGUGGGUUUAUUUGCCUCACUGUAGCAUUUAAGCACCAAACGGAUUUGAAAAUCACCCCAGGUGGCAGGCCUUCAUCUGACUCUGGAUCUUCACUAUUGUGUGGAUGACUGGGAGCUGCUAAGCCCGCAGAGCCCUUGGUGGACAUUGGCAGCCUCUAAUUCACCAAGAUAGGCAGUGUGUUUGAGAGGUACAGAACACAAGCGACAGAUGGGCCCAGUGAAAGUCUCCAUUGAGAGAGAGCCUGUCCUCAGGCUCCAGCCCAGCUGUCAGAGAGCACUGAGACAGAGGGAAAGGAUUCACAUGGAUUGCUUUCCUUCAGUUCAUUUAGAGAAAUCACUCUCGAAUGAAUACAGAGAUGCAAAUACUCCCUACACCUUGAAAAGCAGCAACAACAAGGUUCGGUGCACAGAGGGCCCUUGUCAGGCUUUGACUGACGGUGUCACAUUAAGCAUGGGGAGACAUGGAUGCUCGGGGAGGGUGUUCUUUGGCGCAGUAGGUAGAAACUACUGUAAUUAUAGAGCACAAACACAUUGAGGAGGAGAAAAAGAGUCCCAACAUGCAGCUCACAUUGAAAGAAAAUUGCGCAAAAAUAAAAACAAGUGUGUUUUCAUGCUGAAAGAAAAAAAAGGAGAAAUAAGUGGAGAGAAAAGAGUAAACAGCUUAAACCGAAUAAGAAUUGUCUGUUUUUGAUGGAUGCAUGCAACUCUUUGUAUAGGAUGUGUUGUCUAGGAUGUGUGUAUGCGUGUGUUGAUGCAUUUCGCUUCAAAUUUGAAUACCUUACGUUUUGUAGCUGAAUAUUUUACUUAUGUUUCUGG